rnacentral:rRNA from 1 species
GUAGGUGGCAAGCGUUGUCCGGAAUUAUUGGGCGUAAAGCGCGCGCAGGCGGUCCUUUAAGUCUGAUGUGAAAGCCCACGGCUCAACCGUGGAGGGUCAUUGGAAACUGGGGGACUUGAGUACAGAAGAGGAAAGCGGAAUUCCAAGUGUAGCGGUGAAAUGCGUAGAGAUUUGGAGGAACACCAGUGGCGAAGGCGGCUUUCUGGUCUGUAACUGACGCUGAGGCGCGAAAGCGUGGGGGGCAAACAGGAUUAGAUACCCUGGUAGUCCACGCCGUAAACGAUGAGUGCUAAGUGUUAGGGGGUUUCCCGCCCCCCUUAGUGCUGCAGCCAACGCAUUAAGCACUCCGCCUGGGGGAGUACGGCCGCAAGGCUG